rnacentral:tRNA from 1 species
AACCCGGUGGUGUAAUAGGUAACACAGCAGGUUUUGGUCCUGCCGUUCAAGGUUCGAGUCCUUGCCGGGUUAC